GACGAACGCUGGCGGCGUGCUUAACACAUGCAAGUCGAACGAAGUGGCGAACGGGUGAGUAACGCGUAAUCAACCUGCCCUUCAGAGGGGGACAACAGUUGGAAACGACUGCUAAUACCGCAUACUGAAGGAGGGGAUUGCGUCUGAUUAGCUAGUUGGAGGGGUAACGGCCCAACAAGGCGAUGAUCAGUCGCCGGUCUGGGAGGGUUGACGGCCCAAUUGGGACUGAGACACGGCCCAGACUCCGACGGGAGGCAGCAGUGGGGAAUCUUCCGAAAUGGACGAAAGUCUGACGGAGCAACGACGCGGGAGUGAUGACGGCCUUCGGGUUGUAAAGCUCUGUUAAGCGGGACGCGGUACCGGAAUAGAAAGCCACGGCUAACUACGUGCCAGCAGCCGCGGUAAUAC
rnacentral:rRNA from 1 species